rnacentral:rRNA from 1 species
GAUGAACGCUGACAGAAUGCUUAACACAUGCAAGUCCACUUGAACUUCGGUUUGGGUGGCGGACGGGUGAGUAACGCGUAAAGAACUUGCCUCACAGAUAGGGACAACAUUUGGAAACGAAUGCUAAUACCUGAUAUUAUGAUUAUAUGGCAUCGUAUAAUUAUGAAAGCUAUAUGCGCUGUGAGAGAGCUUUGCGUCCCAUUAGCUAGUUGGAGAGGUAACGGCUCACCAAGGCGAUGAUGGGUAGCCGGCCUGAGAGGGUGAUCGGCCACAAGGGGACUGAGACACGGCCCUUACUCCUACGGGAGGCAGCAGUGGGGAAUAUUGGACAAUGGACCAAGAGUCUGAUCCAGCAAUUCUGUGUGAACGAUGAAGUUUUUCGGAAUGUAAAGUGCUUUCAGUUGGGAAGAAAAAAAUGACGGUACCAACAGAAGAAGUGACGGCUAAAUACGUG